AGACAGGAUCAGCCGUCAGAACAGACCCACCUUUCAAAAUGCUGAAGUUUGUAUGCCUUGCCCUCUGUGUCGUUUACGCUAGCGCCACCUACAAAAGAGGUGGAUAUGGUGGCGGAUACGGAGGUGGAUAUGGUGGCGGAUACGGCGGCGGAAAUGGAGGUGGAUACGGAGGUGGAUAUGGUGGAAUAGGAGGUGGAUAUGGUGGAAUAGGAGGAAUUGCUGGAUAUAGCAGUGGAUAUGGCGGUGGUAUCGGAGGCGGAUACGGAGGUGGAUACGGUAUUGAUGACGGAUUCGGAUACGGUGGUAUCGGAGGAGGAUAUGGCGGUAUUGGAGGUGGAUACGGCGGUAUCGGAGGUGGAUAUGGUGGUAUUGGAGGUGGAUACGGCGGAAUCGGAGGUGGAUAUGGUGGUAUUGGAGGUGGAUACGGUGGUAUCGGAGGUGGAUACGGAAGUGGAGGAAUCAUUGGAGGCAGUCUUGGAUACAGCAGCGGUGGAUUCGGUGGAAAAUACGGACGCAGAUCCAGAGGAAAGGGAUACUAUUAAAGUGACCAAGUACACCACCUACCAGGGUCCUUGUCUCCUGUCAGCCCUAGGAGGUCCAAGCGCCUAAACUCAUUCAUCGACGUCCCGACUUGUUGUCAUGGUUUAUGUGUUAUUUCUAUUUUUAUAAAAUUGCAAUUGAAGAAAUAAAAUGUUUUAUAAAAACGUUU
rnacentral:misc_RNA from 1 species